UAAAAAAAGGCGAUUGAACCACAGUAGCAAAGCAAAGGGUCUCUUGUUAGACGAAGCGAGGAGCCUUUGCCAUUGGAAUCCUAACACUAGAGUUUCACUUGGGAACUAACUCACAAAAAGAAAGGCAAAAAUCCUAAGAUUUGCAAGCGCUUAUGUUCUGGGAAAAUCCUAAGGUUUGGGUUUGAAUGAAAUUGACUUCUCUCUGCUCUCUCUAUCUUCGAUCAACAUUGGCUAUAUCACCACCAACCCAAAUCAGUAACUCCCACUCUUUUCACAGAUUUGACUCAGCUUUGCUCUAUCAGGGCAUACUUCUGAAUGUUCCAUUGAAGAAUUAGCUCAGGCCAUGGUGUGUGCCAUCAUCAAAGCAUUUGAAGAGCAUAUUUAUGAGACUCCAUUCUAAUUUGUAUAGACAAUUUUAUGACGCCGAUUCUAGCAAUUACGAGGAACUUAUAAGAACUCGAUUUGGGCAUUGACUUCCACAAAUAUUAUUGAAAUAUUAUAGCGAUACACGCUUUUCAUGGAUAUGAAGAUUACCUUUUUUUUUUGGAUAUGUAAAUAUUUAUUUGUUUAAUUUUUGUUUCUGAUAUUAUGAUAAUGAUAUUGACUUUGUCAAAAUAGGAACGACAUUUUGAUUUUAUUUUAUUAGUAAAGAAUAAUAGUGGUA